CCUACGGGAGGCAGCAGUAGGGAAUUUUCGUCAAUGGGCGCAAGCCUGAACGAGCAAUGCCGCGUGAACGAGGAAGGUCUUCGGAUCGUAAAGUUCUGUUGAAGGGGAAAACGAGCGGAGAGAUGAAAUGAACUCCGAUUGAUAUUACCCUUCGAGGAAGUCACGGCUAACUACGUGCCAGCAGCCGCGGUAAUACGGAGGUGGCGAGGGUUAUCCGGAAUGAUUGGGCGUAAAGGGUGCGUAGGCGGCCUGCUAAGUCUGGAGUGAAAGGUACCGGCUCAACCGGUACAGGCUCUGGAAACUGGCGGGCUAGAGAGCAGGAGAGGGCGGUGGAACGCCAUGUGUAGCGGUAAAAUGCGUAGAUAUAUGGAAGAACACCAGUGGCGAAGGCGGCCGCCUGGCCUGUUACUGACGCUGAGGCACGAAAGCGUGGGGAGCAAAUAGGAUUAGAUACCCCAGUAGUC
rnacentral:rRNA from 1 species